UUUCCGUAGGUGAACCUGCGGAAGGAUCAUUCAUAAUAAGUGUUUUAUGGCACUUUUUUAAAUCCAUAUCCACCUUGUGUGCAAUGUCAGGGUUGAUUUUUCUCUCGCGAGGAUCAACCCCAAACAUCAACUAUAUCUCAACUCUUUGUCUGAAAAAUAUUAUGAAUAAAACAAUUCAAAAUACAACUUUCAACAACGGAUCUCUUGGCUCUC
rnacentral:misc_RNA from 1 species